rnacentral:rRNA from 1 species
AGAGUUUGAUCCUGGCUCAGGAUGAACGCUAGCGACAGGCUUAACACAUGCAAGUCGAGGGGCAGCGGGGGUAGCGAUACCCGCCGGCGACCGGCGCACGGGUGAGUAACGCGUAUGCAACUUGCCUAUCAGAGGGGGAUAACCCGGCGAAAGUCGGACUAAUACCGCAUGAAGCAGGGGCCCCGCAUGGGGAUAUUUGCUAAAGAUUCAUCGCUGAUAGAUAGGCAUGCGUUCCAUUAGGCAGUUGGCGGGGUAACGGCCCACCAAACCGACGAUGGAUAGGGGUUCUGAGAGGAAGGUCCCCCACAUUGGUACUGAGACACGGACCAAACUCCUACGGGAGGCAGCAGUGAGGAAUAUUGGUCAAUGGGCGUAAGCCUGAACCAGCCAAGUCGCGUGAGGGAUGAAGGUUCUAUGGAUCGUAAACCUCUUUUAUAAGGGAAUAAAGUGCGGGACGUGUCCCGUUUUGUAUGUACCUUAUGGAUAAGGAUCGGCUAACUCCGUGCCAGCAGCCGCGGUAAUACGGAGGAUCCGAGCGUUAUCCGGAUUUAUUGGGUUUAAAGGGAGCGUAGAUGGGUUGUUAAGUCAGUUGUGAAAGUUUGCGGCUCAACCGUAAAAUUGCAAUUGAUACUGGCAGUCUUGAGUACAGUUGAGGUAGGCGGAAUUCGUGGUGUAGCGGUGAAAUGCUUAGAUAUCACGAAGAACUCCGAUUGCGAAGGCAGCUUACUAACCUGUAACUGACAUUGAUGCUCGAAAGUGUGGGUAUCAAACAGGAUUAGAUACCCUGGUAGUCCACACGGUAAACGAUGAAUACUCGCUGUAGGCGAUAUACAGUCUGCGGCCAAGCGAAAGCAUUAAGUAUUCCACCUGGGGAGUACGCCGGCAACGGUGAAACUCAAAGGAAUUGACGGGGGCCCGCACAAGCGGAGGAACAUGUGGUUUAAUUCGAUGAUACGCGAGGAACCUUACCCGGGCUUAAAUUGCAACCGAAUAUGGCGGAAACGCCAUAGCUAGCAAUAGCGGUUGUGAAGGUGCUGCAUGGUUGUCGUCAGCUCGUGCCGUGAGGUGUCGGCUUAAGUGCCAUAACGAGCGCAACCCUUGCCGAUAGUUACUAACAGGUCAUGCUGAGGACUCUGUCGGGACUGCCAUCGUAAGAUGUGAGGAAGGUGGGGAUGACGUCAAAUCAGCACGGCCCUUACGUCCGGGGCUACACACGUGUUACAAUGGGGGGUACAGAGGGCUGCUACCACGCAAGUGGAUGCCAAUCCCAAAAACCUCUCUCAGUUCGGAUUGAAGUCUGCAACCCGACUUCAUGAAGCUGGAUUCGCUAGUAAUCGCGCAUCAGCCACGGCGCGGUGAAUACGUUCCCGGGCCUUGCACACACCGCCCGUCAAG